rnacentral:misc_RNA from 1 species
CCAUACUGUGCAAUGGAACACUUAGCUAAUCAGUGUUCGACCUCCAGUAAACGUGUGUCGGUUCCUGAUGGAAGUACACCACACAAACCCAAAGAAAAGAAAGCCAAAAGGCACCUUUACGAAGACCAAUUAGAAAAUAUCUCUUUGGUGACCCGACCUCUAGUCCAAAGAUCCCAUCAUUUACCACAAGAAAAGGACCUAUGCCCUUAAAGUCGCCAGUGAAACUACACAAAUGGUCUCUUGAAGAAGACAGAGCCUUUGAGUUUAUUGGAGUAGCAAGAACUGAUCCUAGUUAUGAGUUUGACUUUGAUUUGUCACCAACACCUUGGCCAUCAUUCAGAUCAUCACAUAAAUUUUGGUCAGAUGCUGCAGUUCACAUUAAAACACUGACACCAAUUCAAAUUUUCUUUUAGCAAAUUCAAGAGUGAGAUCACGUGUCACCAAUACUUUGAGGGGGAAAUUCAAAACCAUUGAGGAAGCUGAGACAGAACUUGACCUACCUGUUACUGGUAGUUGCAUGGCAAUUGAUAAUAUCCAGCCACUCAAGACAAGAGGUGUCCACAAAAAUACACAGACAGUGGAAAUGCAUGACAAAGAUCAGCAGUCAGCCCAGAUAUGUGAACCAUGCACACCCAUACAGUUAAAUACACUGUUUCUUAAAUUGGCAAAUGAUGCUUGUAUAACGACAAACCCAUCUAACUUCGCCAGUUUAGCUUUAAAGGCAAUAAUGGUACUGGAGGAACAUGGCAAGUCCAACCUUCUAUACAAGUUUGCAUACUGCUUAGCUACAAACCCUCCAGGAAUUAGCAGACCUUUGUUUGACCCCACAAGAAUGCCAUUUGGCCUGGUGGAAUACCAGAUAGAAUUCUUUAGUUGCACAAACAUAACACAGAUCAGGAUCCCAGAUGAUUACCAUAUGUGGCAUGAAACAAUGUGUGCUGAGUUUCCCAACCGAUUCAACAGACUAUUUAGAGGCCCAAUGUGGAGCGGUACUAACCAAGAAUUGUCAAAAAACCCUCUUCAUGCAAAGGUUAAUGUUGCUGGACCAAGCACAAGGAAUAUUCAAAAGAAGGCAGCAGUAUCUGAUUUUGUUGUUGAACCUAAGAUACAAGUUGAGGCACUAAAGCAGCUGAAAGCAUCCAAUCCCAAAGGGCGUUUCUGGAUUAAAGCCGACGCAUUUGAUGUCAGUGCUGCUCUCCAAGAGUCUGUAAAGGGAACCUGGAAUGGAGAUGUGGAUCUGGGGGACUACAGGCUUCAGCAACUGAGGAAAGAUUAUGAUAAGAGAAGAAUGUCAAGCUAAAGAACUCAGAGAAGAUAGACAGUGCAUUGAAAAUCACAUAAAAAAGCAAGUUGAUUUCCUGGAGUUGGAUAUAAGGUUCUUGGCAAAUGGGCUGGUACUGGCAGAGGAAGCAUAUCGUAAGAAAUUCCACUGCCCAACUACCUCAGCUGAAAUGUUGAAAACCUUAUGCUGGGAAAGAGUUGAAUACAGCACUCUGUUACAACAGGCACAAGGUUUUAAGGACAAAUUGGAAUCAAUGGUAGGAAUGCUGGAUCCCAAUCCACCACGUACAAGAGACGUGAUGAAAGCAUUCAAAAAUUUACAAGAUGAUAUGCUAAAGUAUCUGAGGAAUUUGUUUAUCAAGAAGAGGCAACCUGCUGCUACUCAUGUUCUCCUUUUCCUUGUGUGUGAUGCUGAACUAUAUUACAUGAUCAUGAUAAAGGAAGACAAAAUGACCCGAAAGCCAAAGAGCGGUACGUACGUACUCACUAGCGCCACAGGUAUACCAAGACAAGUGCUCGAUUAUCAUUACUCAUCAAGCAGAUGUUUCACCCUCAUUAUCUGUAGGUAAUACGCAAUAAAUGGGUUUAUAUAAAUCCUCGCUAAGCUGUGAGCCAACUACUUGAUGUAAUAUUCCUUAAUCCGUACCCAGCAGAAUAUCUUCUUUAAUCUGUGGUUACAUUUAUGGAAAACAAUUCCCUUAGGAAAUGAUAAUGCUGAAUUUAUUUAAUCAGUUUUCAGAACCUUAAUCGGUGUAAAGUAAUAUCUUUUACUCAAAACAUAUCAAUAGUUAAGAUGGUAUCUGUUGUGUUUUAACGUUUUAUAUGUAUAACUUGUUGUUAAAGAUAGCGGAAAAAGCAAGCUUAGAAAGGCGAAUGGAGAAGUAUGAACCAACCAAAAAACUGCAAACCUUAAUAAAUGCUAUAUUCUUUUCAAGAGCACACAACUGAUCAGAUACAACUGAUCAUGAAUGACAACAGGAAAGAAAAGGGAUAUAAAAAAGACAGUAAUUUCAGAGUAUUCUCUCAAGCAGAGUUUCAAAAAAAAACUAGAACCGUGAAUAUUGUGCAUCACUUUUUUUCAUUUUUCAUUACAGUUGGACGUCAAAAACGU